UACGGAAGGCAGCAGUGGGGAAUAUUGGACAAUGGGCGAAAGCCUGAUCCAGCCAUGCCGCAUGAGUGAAGAAGGCCUUCGGGUUGUAAAGCUCUUUUAGUGAGAAAGAUAAUGACGGUACUCACAGAAGAAGUCCUGGCUAACUCCGUGCCAGCAGCCGCGGUAAUACGGAGAGGGCUAGCGUUAUUCGGAAUUAUUGGGCGUAAAGAGCGCGUAGGCUGAUUAGUAAGUUAAAAGUGAAAUCCCAAAGCUUAACUUUGGAAUUGCUUUUUAAAACUGCUAGUCUAGAGAUUUGAAAGAGGAUAGAGGAAUUCCUAGUGUAGAGGUGAAAUUCGUAAAUAUUAGGAGGAACACCAGUGGCGAAGGCGUCUAUCUGGUUCAAAUCUGACGCUGAGGCGCGAAGGGCGUGGGGAGCAAACGAGGGAUUAGAUACCCGU
rnacentral:rRNA from 1 species